CCUUGGGAGGACUACUCAGAUGAUAGGAACCAGUGGUUGAAAAAGAGAGAAACAAGAUGAAAGGAUUCGUGACUUUUCUGGGAAGUAUAAAAAGCUAUUUUGUGCCUCUUCUUUAUUUAGUUGCCAAUAGAUUGUUUUAUUUGUCUAUUUUGUUGUGUGAUAAAAUGCGAUAUGGGAGUAAUUGUUUUUCUUGUGUGUGCAUGCAUGUAUGUAUUUCUAUUUUGAUGAAGUGCUGACCCUGCUGAUUCAGAAUACCUUUAAGUUUUACAAAGAUUUUAUUUUCUCCUGGCUUCCUCUUGCAUACGCAAAGGCAGUAAUAGAGUAUCAUUUAAAUAAUAUGCCUUGGUUAGAACACAGCAAUGUAGUUAAGAGAAACAUUUUAGAGGUUGACCUAAAAUACAUUAACUUUGAAAUAAAUAUACAUCUAGCAUAAAGAAUGAAUUUUACCAAAUAUACAUAUCAGUUUUACCAACAGAUACCAUUUUGGGAAGAUACGUAUUCUGGUUUAAAAAAUAUUUUAGUUUGAGUUCAGUUGUAUUAUAGCUUACAUAAUACUAAUUAGAUGCUGGCUCAGAGCUAUGUGUUAGUCAAAAAUUUUGGCUAGGUUCUCAUGAAAUAUCUGAAAGGCUAAAGAACAAUGUAAUUAUGCAUACAUUUAAAAUUUUGAAAGAAACAUCCCAUGUGCUACCUGACAGUGAAAUUGUCCCUGAUGAUAAGGAGAAAGGAUAAGAAGAUGCUGGGGACUGCCCGGUUCGGAGUGGACAUACUCAGGCCUAAUUCCUUAAAUAUUCAACUGAACUAGAUGAUGCUCUAUGAUCUACAAGCUCUCUGUGCCUUGGUUUCUAAUAAAACAAAAUGUAGGGAGCAUCAAUCUCAUAAAUAUUUCUUUUCUUUCUUCUUCUUUUUUUUUUUUAUAAACUGAAUGGAGAUUCCUGUGCAGUAGACUAUAUCAUAAAUGCUGGCAUUAGAAGAUUAGAAAAACUCCUGUCUUAUAAACUAUUUUAUAUUGGGUAUUUACUAUUUAUAGCUAAUGGAUUUCUAAAUAUAUGAUUUGACCUGCUACAUUUAAACUAAGUAAUAAAAUACGUGUCAAAUAAUCCAAGUUAAUAUCCAAAGUCAUGACAUUAUCAAAGUUACAGUUUUUUCUUAAUCUGUCAAGAAUUUCAGUGCUAAAUUGACCUUAAUUUUUUAAAAAAAUAAUAUUUAGGUAACUUUCUGAUUACUCAAAAUAGUUCAGAACUGUAACUCAUGCUCCUGUGUGUGUGUGAUUUUUCUGCCUGUGCACUCUAUAACUGUGACUUGCUCAAGGGUGCUAAGAAGAGAGAAGCUGAUGUGGCUGAUGUUGGAAGGUGAUGAAUUCAUCCAUGGUAAAAGAAAUAUCCCUUAAGGCAGGGGUCUCCAACCCCUGGACCAUGGACCCACACUGGUCAGAUCAGUGGCAGCAUCAGAUUCUCACAGGAGCAUGAACCCUACGGUGAACUCCACAUGCAAGGGAUCUAGUUGCGUGCUCCCUAUGAGAACCUAAUGCUUGAUGAUCCAAGGUAGAACAGUUUCAUCCCAAAACCAUUCCCCUGCCUCCGUGGAAAUAUUGUCUUCCACGAAACUAGGCCCUGGUGCCAAAAAGGUUGGGGCCUGCUGCCUUAGGGCAUGUCCUGUUACCAGCUUCCAGUUGCCCUUGAAGUGGUCUUCAUUAUCCUGGCUUUCUCUCCCCAGUCUCUUCUUCCUGCUGGCCUUCCUACGGGCCUGUCCCUCACUGGCUCUGGGUCCUGGGCCUCUACCCAGGCCUGAGUCCAUGUGCUCAGAAAAGGUGUGAUUUCAUCCUUCUGGAGUACUGGUGUUCAUGUGACUGUCCUUUGAAAGAACAGGGCAAGAGUCAUCUGUUUUCUAUUAAACUUUGAUGACAUUUGAUACACACAAGACACUGAGAGAGGGGCAGAGAAACCUGGAUGUGCAGAUAAAAUAGAGACCAAAGUAGUACAUCAGGAGAGAUGUGAAGAUAUCCCAGGUAACAUUCACUGUGAUCCGUUUUGUGAGCAACAAUGUGGAGUACUGGUAUAGAGUUUCGGGAGACCUGGGUGUUAAUUCUAGCUUAGUCACACGCUACGUGUGUGAACUUGCGCAAGUUACUUGAUCCUGAAGCCUCACUUUUCUCCUUUGAAAAUGGGAAUAAUACUACCACCUACCUCCUGGAAUUGUAGUGGUGAAGAUUAAAUCAGGAGAAAAUGAACGUGUGUGAAUCGAAAGACCCAUCCUGCCUUAACAAUUUUGGCACAGGCUGGCUGAGAGACUGAGAAUAACACAGAGGACUGUUUCCUACAAGAAAGACACAUGUUUCCAGAUUGAGAUUCCAGGGAGGGCAUCCAGUUCCAAGGAUAACAGUGAUGGGGCCGAAUUUGAGACUGGGGUUGCUAUGGAAACAUCCUAGGCAGGUUGGCUAGCGUGGGGAGCAAGGACUGCUGUACACAAGCACCUCUGAAGACUGUCAGGAGUUUUCUAUGAAAAUUGGACUUCCUGCAGUUGUGUAGGUGAGAGAUUGGAAAUGUUGAGGUUCAGCUAUCCGUAUCAAAGAACUGAAUUUUCUCUCACUGGCUGGCAUGAUUUCUGUUAGAAUCUCCAAGACUAAAAGAAUGAGUAGACUGCCUUGAAUGUAAUGAGCCCCCCAUGAUGUAAUACUACUUGUGAGUAGUAUUUAAGGAGAGACCAGAUGGCUUUAUGUCUGUGUAUGUUCAUAUUCCACUAGAAAGCCUGCAUAUGUGUAUGCGUUGCAAAUUGUAAAACAAGUUCUGCAAUAUAAAUGCUAUUAUCACUAGGUAUGUGUAUGUUUCUGCUAUGCAUGUAUGUGGGAAGUCUCGCUGCAUGAGGGCUGACUUUCAAAGUUUCCUUUGCAACUCUUAAGAAUCUAUGGAUUUAUCAAAAUAAAAUAGGCAAUUUUAAUAAAUAAAAAAUCAUGUUCUAAUGGGGAGAUGUUGGUCAAAGAGUACAAACUUUCAGUUAUAAAAGGCAUAAGUUCUGGGGUCUAAUGUACAGCAUGAUAACUAUAGUUAAUACUGUAUUGUAUUGACAUUUGCUAAGAGAGUAGAUAUUAAAUGUUCUCACCACACACAUAUACUUAUGUGAGGUAAUGGAUGUGUGAACUAAGUUGUCUGUAGUAAUAAUUUCACAAUAUAUAUGUAUAUCAAAUCAUCACAUUUUACAUCUUAAAUUUAUACAGUUUUAUUUGUCAAUUAUGCCUCAAUAAAGCUGGAAAAAGAUGUCAC